AUUGAACUCUGGCGGCCGGCCUCACACAUGCAAGUCUCACGCGUUGCGGACGGGUGAGUCCUGUCUCGGACCCUGCCUGAUGGAGGGUGCUCCCUACUGGAAACGGUAGCUAAUACCGCAUACCAUCGGAUGUGCCCAGAUGGGAUUAGCUAGUAGGGGGGGUAAAGGCUCACCUAGGCGACGAUCCCUAGCUGGUCUGAGAGGAUGACCAGCCACACUGGAACGGAGACACGGUCCAGACUCCUACGGGAGGCAGCAGUGGGGAAUAUUGCACAAUGGGCGCAAGCCUGAUGCAGCCAGGCCGCGUGUAUGAAGAAGGCCUUCGGGUUGUAAAGUACUUUCAGCGGGGAGGCGUUACCCGCAGAAGAAGCACCGGCUAACUCCGUGCCAGCAGCCGCGGUAAUUC
rnacentral:rRNA from 1 species